GGGGUCUGCGUGGAGUAGGUUGUGGAAUGUAGGGCACUGGACUUGGUGCUGUUACCUCAGGUUGUCUAUAAAUGGUUCUAGGGAAUGGCACUGGAAUUGCACUGGUUUGCUGCGGUUGAGGUGCUGGUAAGGCUGACUGCUGCUGCAGCCUCAAAUUCUGCAUAUCUUUGUGGAGGGUCUGUAACUGCCGAAUUUCCUCUUUUCAGGUCUUGAACCUCCAACCUGUGUCUAAACAAUAUGAAUGAAGACUCAUCCUCUUGUAGCAUAUGCUCCUCCUCUGCAUCACUUUCAUAGUGCAGUGUGGUAGACCACUGUCUGUCAGGCUGUCUGUCAACACAGGAAUCCGAUCAGGAGAUUGUGCUCGCCUCAGGGUGUCAGUAAAAACACAGCACAGGAUUCAGAACAUUCUGACUUUACUGUUGUAAAUGUGUGGUACAAAUUAGGCAAACUUCAAUGAUUAAUAUCAGGAACUCAGGAACACGCAUUCAUUCUCUUACUCCGCUCGCUGACAGGAGAGGUCGGGAAGUUUCUAGCUCGCCACCUAUCGUCCUUUUCCAACGUCAUCCAUAAAGUGGUCCCUGAUUGGUUAGAUCUCCUUAACAGUGGUAUUAUAGGCUACUGAUCUAUCUAUCUACAAAUAAAAUAAACAUAUUAACAAUAAAUAUAAUGACAACAUACAUACAUGAUAAUUUACAUCUAAUACAAUUCUUAGUUAACUGCAAUACUUAAAUUGCCCUUUAGAUGGCGCAUUCAGCAUGUAUAACAGUGAUUUGCAAAUUCUCCAUGUCUGUUAUAAAGUGCUGAGUAAUCAUCGUAUGUGUACGGGAUUACGGAGAAUAUGAUAAAAAUCAAUAUCUAAACACUUAUUAACUGAGUUAUGUUACACCAAAGCGAUGAUACAUAAGGAAUAAAGUAAAUAAAUAACUUUAUAUGCAUAAUCUAUUAUAUUUAUGGUAACUACGUCAGCGUGAAUUCGGAGAACUCUGAGGAGACAAGCAACUCGCUAAUUUCCAUAAAAUAAAGCUGUAACAGGGCAGGAUAACUAUAUUAAAUAUCAAAAAGAAGUAUAUAGACUUACAUUUUUGCAUAAACACACACAAAUUAGGCAAACUUCAAAGAUUAAUAUCAGGAACUCAGGAACACGCAUUCAUUCUCUUACUCCGCUCACUGACAGGAGAGGUCGGGAAGUUUCUAGCUCGCCACCUAUCGUCCUUUUCCAACGUCAUCCAUAAAGUGGUCCCUGAUUGGUUAGAUCUCCUUAACACACAAUAUUACAGUUUUUUCUGUAUUUUUGAUCAAAUAAUGCAGGCUUGAUGAGCCAGAAGAGACUUCUUUCAAAAAACAUAUAUAUAUAUAUAUAUAUAUGCUCUUUUGAAAAAUGGCUCUUAACCAAAAAUAAAAAUUUUGCUCUUUGGUCAAAAAAGGUUCCAGACCCCUGUUCCAGAAUCUGGCAGUAAGUUUGGGGAGCUCAUUUUUAUUCCAUCUUCUAUUCUGAAAAGUCUUGCAGAAUUGACUAAAAAAUAUCUUCACAUUAAUUCUUAAUUCUUUUGCAGUUAACUUGUGUCUUUUCUCCACCUGUUUUUUUCUAACCCCACUGUCCCAGUCAGCAUUUUUUGUCCAAUGGUCAUGUCUUAAUUUUGCAAUUUCUGUAUUGCAAUAGUUUUGAAUAAUUCUCAUGGGGAUUUAAUCAUUUUUGACUUUUCAGUCUGAGUUACAACUCUUUUUUGGCUCAUUUCAUCUGUAAAAAAAAAGAAUUGCCUAAUAAUUACGCACACCUGAAUAUAAGGAGUGUUUCUCUUCCAGCCUUCAUGGACAAUUAUAUAUCACUCAUAAAUGAUUAAAUACAAAAUUAAUGGUAGUUAUUAAGAUUGAUGUCAUUGGGAAUUGGUAAAAUGUGCUUGGAAAAAAAAAUCAGAAUAUCAACAUGCCUAAUAAUUGUGCACACAGUGUAAAUCAAUAAAGGUUUUAGUAACACUUUAUAAUAAGGUCUAAUUUGUAAACAUUAGUAAAUGAACAUGAACAAUAUAUUUU
rnacentral:lncRNA from 1 species